rnacentral:rRNA from 1 species
GACGAACGCUGGCGGCGUGCUUAACACAUGCAAGUCGAACGGAAAGGCCCUGCUUUUGUGGGGUGCUCGAGUGGCGAACGGGUGAGUAACACGUGAGUAACCUGCCCUUGACUUUGGGAUAACUUCAGGAAACUGGGGCUAAUACCGGAUAGGAGCUCCUGCUGCAUGGUGGGGGUUGGAAAGUUUCGGCGGUUGGGGAUGGACUCGCGGCUUAUCAGCUUGUUGGUGGGGUAGUGGCUCACCAAGGCUUUGACGGGUAGCCGGCCUGAGAGGGUGACCGGCCACAUUGGGACUGAGAUACGGCCCAGACUCCUACGGGAGGCAGCGGUGGGGAAUAUUGCACAAUGGGCGGAGGCCUGAUGCAGCAACGCCGCGUGCGGGAUGGCGGCCUUCGGGUUGUAAACCGCUUUCGCCUGUGACGAAGCGUGAGUGACGGUAAUGGGUAAAGAAGCACCGGCUAACUACGUG